rnacentral:rRNA from 1 species
ACAUCUCCUUAAUCGGAGAGUUCCCUUCGGGGACAUUGGUGACAGGUGGUGCAUGGUUGUCGUCAGCUCGUGUCGUGAGAUGUUGGGUUAAGUCCCGCAACGAGCGCAACCCUUGUCUUUAGUUGCCAUCAUUAAGUUGGGCACUCUAGAGAGACUGCCAGGGAUAACCUGGAGGAAGGUGGGGAUGACGUCAAAUCAUCAUGCCCCUUAUGCUUAGGGCUACACACGUGCUACAAUGGGUAGUACAGAGGGUUGCCAAGCCGUAAGGUGGAGCUAAUCCCUUAAAGCUACUCUCAGUUCGGAUUGUAGGCUGAAACUCGCCUACAUGAAGCUGGAGUUACUAGUAAUCGCAGAUCAGAAUGCUGCGGUGAAUGCGUUCCCGGGUCUUGUACACACCGCCCGUCACACCACGGGAGUUGGAGACGCCCGAAGCCGAUUAUCUAACCUUUUGGAAGAAGUCGUCGAAGGUGGAAUCAAUAACUGGGGUGAAGUCGUAACAAGGUAGCCGUAUCGGAAGGUGCGGCUGGAUC